rnacentral:rRNA from 1 species
UACGUAGGGGGCAAGCGUUGUCCGGAUUUAUUGGGCGUAAAGAGCGUGUAGGCGGCUAGGUAGGUGGGUUGUGAAAACUGGAGGCUCAACCUUCAGACGUCGACCCAAACCCCCUGGCUAGAGUCCGGAAGAGGAGAGUGGAAUUCCAGGUGUAGCGGUGAAAUGCGUAGAUAUCUGGAGGAACACCGGUGGCGAAGGCGGCAUCCUGGACCGGUAUUGACGCUGAGGCGCGAAAGCUAGGGGAGCAAACGGG